UACAGAGGGGGCAAGCGUUGUUCGGAAUUACUGGGCGUAAAGGGCGCGUAGGCGGCCUUCUAAGUCAGACGUGAAAUCCCUCGGCUUAACCGGGGAACUGCGUCUGAUACUGGAUGGCUUGAGUGUGGGAGAGGGAUGCGGAAUUCCAGGUGUAGCGGUGAAAUGCGUAGAUAUCUGGAGGAACACCGGUGGCGAAGGCGGCAUCCUGGACCAUUACUGACGCUGAUGAGCGAAAGCGUGGGGAGCAAACAGG
rnacentral:rRNA from 1 species